rnacentral:lncRNA from 1 species
AGAUGACAAAGAGAGAUGGAAAAAAGAGACAGACACAAAGACAGAAAUAGGCACAGAGACAGAGACACAGAGAAAAACAGAGACAGAGACAAAGAGACAGAGAGAACAGAGACAGAGAAAGGCAGAAACAGCAAGGCAGAGACCGAAAGACAGAGAUGGAGAGACAGAAAGAAACGGAGAGAGAGGUUUUUCUGCCUUCUGCCAACAGAGAGAAGUGGACAGGCUGCAGCUUUAGAAGGGAGGCCCAAGCAGCACUGCAUGCGAAGGUGCUGAAUGAGCUGCCCGCUGGCACAGAAUGAGUUGCUGAAAGAGUUAGUGGUCAAGUCCAUGUUCAAGUUUGUCUCAUUCCAAA